rnacentral:rRNA from 1 species
UGGGCGGAGCCCCAUUUAUCGACGGAAGAGUAGCUUGCUACUGAUCUUAGCGGCGGACGGGUGAGUAAUGCUUAGAAUCUGCCUAUUAGUGGGGGACAACAUUUCGAAAGGAAUGCUAAUACCGCAUACCUCCUACGGGAGAAAGCAGGCGAUCUUCGGACCUUGCGCUAAUAGAUGAGCCUAAGUCGGAUUAGCUAGUUGGUGGGGUAAAGGCCUACCAAGGCGACGAUCUGUAGCGGGUCUGAGAGGAUGAUCCGCCACACUGGGACUGAGACACGGCCCAGACUCCUACGGGAGGCAGCAGUGGGGAAUAUUGGACAAUGGGCGCCAGCCUGAUCCAGCCAUGCCGCGUGUGUGAAGAAGGCCUUAUGGUUGUAAAGCACUUUAAGCGAGGAGGAGGCUACUUUAGUUAAUACCUAGAGAUAGUGGACGUUACUCGCAGAAUAAGCACCGGCUAACUCUGUGCCAGCAGCCGCGGUAAUACAGAGGGUGCAAGCGUUAAUCGGAUUUACUGUGCGUAAAGCGCGCGUAGGCG